GGACUCCCCUCCACACAACUUAGCAUCUCCUUCUCCCCAUCAGACCCUCCCUUCUUCCCACUUUCCUUUGCCCGCCACCACGCAGACCCACUUUCCUUUGCCCGCCACCACACAGACCCACUUUCCUUUGCCCGCCACCAUGCAGACCCACUUUCCUAGACCUUACUUCUACUCUUUGGACUCUUCUGACUUUGUUCCUCUUCCUUCCUCUUCCUCUCUACCAAGAUCCCCCUCUUGCUUUCGCCAAAACUGUACUUAUUUUGGUGAAAAACUCCCCUCUCCACACUCCACCUCUCCCUCCAACUAUCAGCUCUGUGUCUCUCCCCCUCUUACCUGCUCCUUUCUUUCCCAGCUACAAAAUUCCUCUUCUCAUUCCUGUCAGUCCCCUUCCCGCCUCCAGAACUUUCAAAGCUCCAAGACCACUUCCCCUGGCCCCAGCUCACCACCUCAAGGGAUCCAGAGUAAGAAGCAAGCACGGGAGUGCCCUCAGUCCAGAAGCACCAGGUCCUCUAGGCCGGUAAGGGGAUGUGUGCCAAGUAAGGUGAACCCUGCAGAAUUCAAGGACCCAGGGGCCCUCACCCAAGUCCUGGUGGACCAUGUGGGGCGCCGCAGAAUUGCACGAGACCUGCAGAUCCAGCUUCUGCAGCGCCUGUGGCUUGGCACACCCGGCCCAGCCCCAGUCGUGGAGUACCCCAUAUGCCUGGUGUGUCUCCAGCUCCGCACCCCAUCUUGCCCCACCUCCAAGUACAAGACUAUACCCCAACUGCUUGCCUUCCCUAAACUAAUGCCCUGUGCCCAGUGCCAGGAACCUGGGCCUCUCCGAAUAGGCAUUGGCUUCGGGCUCCGCCUGACUCGGGGCCAGGCCAAGGCUUUGCAUCUGCUGCCCCCAAAAAAACCGAAGGAAGUAAAGUCUAGGAAAAGGCCUCCAGAGUCAAAACCCGGCAACCCAGGGACCAAUUCAAAUCACCCACACACUCUUCCAGCCUCUGGUCUGUAGACCUUCAAUCACUAAAACCCAGCCAGUAUUCCAGGUCUCUACUUCAGGAGCCAAGACUGUGUCCUCAAAGCCCAUGCCUUCUGUCUCAAAGAGGCCUGUGGCUCUAGGGUCUAUUCUCCGAAAAUUGACAUCUUAAUUCCAGAGCAGCAGAGACCCUCUGGAACACCACCUCAAACUCCACCCUCCCUACCAUAACUUCUCAGACCUUGGAGGACUGGAAGCUAAGUGUGUCUCCUGCACUGAGCCCUAGGAAGCCCUUGUGGAGUCUGCUCUCCCCUAGUUGAAAAGACCAGAGGCACCCAAGUCCUCAUUCAGCCUUUAGUGUAUCCAAUAAAACCUCUCUCUGAGAA